rnacentral:rRNA from 1 species
CCACCGCGGUUAUACGAAAGACCCUAGUUGAUAAGUGUGGCGUAAAGGGUGGUUAAGGUAAAAUAUUGAAUAAAGCUAAAGACCCUCUAAGCCGUCAUACGCACUCCGAGGACACGAAACCCAAACACGAAAGUAGCUUUAAAUAAACUAACCUGACCCCACGAAAGCUAAGAAACAAACUGGGAUUAGAUACCCCACUAUGCUUAGCCAUAAACCUAGAUGUAACAUUACACACGCAUCCGCCCGGGUACUACGAGCACAGCUUAAAACCCAAAGGACUUGGCGGUGUCUCAGACCCACCUAGAGGAGCCUGUUCUAGAACCGAUAACCCCCGUUAAACCUCACCACUUCUUGUUUUCCCCGCCUAUAUACCGCCGUCGUCAGCUUACCCUGUGAAGGUCUAAUAGUAAGCAAAAUGGGCCCGCCCAAAAACGUCAGGUCGAGGUGUAGCGUACGAAGUGGAAAGAAAUGGGCUACAUUUUCUAUAUACAGAAUAUUACGAACGGUGCAUUGAAAUCAUGCACCCGAAGGUGGAUUUAGUAGUAAAAAGCAAACAGAGUGUCCCUUUGAACUAGGCUCUGAGACGCGCACACACCGCCCGUCACUCUCCCCAACACCCCACCAAACCGAUAUAUAAUAAAUCAACUGUAAACACGGGGAGGCAAGUCGUAACAUG